rnacentral:rRNA from 1 species
GAUUUUAUGCUUGCAUAAUUGAUUUUUGGAUUCGGAGCGAGUGGCGAACUGGUGAGUAACACGUGGGUAACCUGCCCCGAAGCGGGGGAUAACAUUUGGAAACAAGUGCUAAUACCGCAAAUUAGUUGGAACCGCAGGUUCCAACUUGAAAGAUGGCUCUGCUAUCACUUUGGGAUGGACCCGCGCCGUAUAGUUAGUUGGUGAGAUAAAAGCCCACCAAGACGAUGAUACGUAGCCGACCUGAGAGGGUAAUCGGCCACAUUGGGACUGAGACACGGCCCAGACUCCUACGGGAGGCAGCAGUAGGGAAUCUUCCACAAUGGACGAAAGUCUGAUGGAGCAACGCCGCGUGAGUGAUGAAGGUUUUCGGAUCGUAAAACUCUGUUGUUAAAGAAGAACAAGUGUUAGAGUAACUGUUAACACUUUGACGGUAUUUAACCAGAAAGCCACGGCUAACUACGUGCCAGCAGCCGCGGUAAUACGUAGGUGGCAAGCGUUGUCCGGAUUUAUUGGGCGUAAAGCGAGCGCAGGCGGUUUUGUAAGUCUGCUGUGAAAGCCCUCAGCUCAACUGAGGAAGUGCAGUGGAAACUACAAAACUUGAGUACAGAAGAGGAAAGUGGAACUCCAUGUGUAGCGGUGAAAUGCGUAGAUAUAUGGAAGAACACCAGUGGCGAAGGCGGCUUUCUGGUCUGUUACUGACGCUGAGGCUCGAAAGCAUGGGUAGCGAACAGGAUUAGAUACCCUGGUAGUCCAUGCCGUAAACGAUGAAUACUAGGUGUUGGAGGGUUUCCGCCCUUCAGUGCCGCAGCUAACGCAUUAAGUAUUCCGCCUGGGGAGUACGACCGCAAGGUUGAAACUCAAAGGAAUUGACGGGGGCCCGCACAAGUGGUGGAGCAUGUGGUUUAAUUCGAUGCUACGCGAAGAACCUUACCAGCUCUUGACAUCUUCUGCCAACCCAAGAGAUUGGGCGUUCCCUUCGGGGACAGAAUGACAGGUGGUGCAUGGUUGUCGUCAGCUCGUGUCGUGAGAUGUUGGGUUAAGUCCCGCAACGAGCGCAACCCUUAUUAUUAGUUGCCAGCAUUUAGUUGGGCACUCUAGUGAGACUGCCGGUGAUAAACCGGAGGAAGGUGGGGACGACGUCAAAUCAUCAUGCCCCUUAUGAGCUGGGCUACACACGUGCUACAAUGGAUGGUACAACGAGUCGCGAAACCGCGAGGUCAAGCUAAUCUCUUAAAGCCAUUCUCAGUUCGGAUUGCAGGCUGCAACUCGCCUGCAUGAAGUUGGAAUCACUAGUAAUCGUGGAUCAGCAUGCCACGGUGAAUACGUUCCCGGGCCUUGUACACACCGCCCGUCACACCAUGAGAGUUUGUAACACCCAAAGAC